rnacentral:rRNA from 1 species
GGAAAGAUUCAUCGGUAUGGGAUGGGGUCGCGUCCUAUCAGCUUGAUGGCGGGGUAACGGCCCACCAUGGCUUCGACGGGUAGCCGGCCUGAGAGGGCGACCGGCCACAUUGGGACUGAGAUACGGCCCAGACUCCUACGGGAGGCAGCAGUGGGGAAUAUUGCACAAUGGGCGCAAGCCUGAUGCAGCGACGCCGCGUGCGGGAUGACGGCCUUCGGGUUGUAAACCGCUUUUGACUGGGAGCAAGCCCUUCGGGGUGAGUGUACCUUUCGAAUAAGCACCGGCUAACUACGUGCCAGCAGCCGCGGUAAUACGUAGGGUGCAAGCGUUAUCCGGAAUUAUUGGGCGUAAAGGGCUCGUAGGCGGUUCGUCGCGUCCGGUGUGAAAGUCCAUCGCUUAACGGUGGAUCCGCGCCGGGUACGGGCGGGCUUGAGUGCGGUAGGGGAGACUGGAAUUCCCGGUGUAACGGUGGAAUGUGUAGAUAUCGGAA